rnacentral:tRNA from 1 species
UUUAAAGUGGCAGAUUAAUGCGAGAAAUUUAAGCUUUCUUUAUGAUUUGAUCCUUUAAUA